ensembl:lncRNA
AGCUCUUUAUUCUGUGAUCUUUACAGCUUUUUCUGUUGAGUUCAAAAAUACCCACCCCACAGCAUAAUGGUGUAGUGAUCAGAAUAUUCAGCAAAGACUAGAGAAGUCUAGGUAUCCCUUACCGGUAUCACAGCAUCCAAGCGUGCACAGCCUCUGCCCCUAGGAGCUUACAGUUUAUAAUGUCUUCAUGUCUGAAUAGUCCAGCCACCUUGUUCCAGAAGGGCAUCUGAAAACCAUGGAUAAGAGUGAACACAUAUAUAGUUAAAAGCACAACAGCCAGAGUUAAUAAAGAAGCAUACAUAGUCAGAACUGGCCACUAGGGGGCAAGAGAUCAUACUAUGCAUUCUUUAUUAACACCUGCGUCCCCCCAAGGUUGGGAACCACUGGGUUAAAUAGAGGAAGGCUAAGUGAGAGUAGGGCUGGCCAGUAGGCAAUCCAGGAGUUCAGAAGAGUGCUGCAUCAAUCAUCAGCUUGUGUCUUGCAUUGAGGGUGGAGAAAACACCAAAGAAAACCAGCCAGUGUCUUAGAACAGCCUUGGUCUUGGCCACCAGCUUGCUAUCGGCCGAAGCCCUCCGCGUCGUGGCCAACCCCCCAAACCCUCGUCUUGGCCAGUCGGUCACUCUGUCCUUGCAGGAUGUCGAUUACCCCUACAUCUGCUUUUGGAGCAGAGGCAACAAAUUUGACAAGGGGAGGAUGAUCUUUCAAGCAGUAAGCGGCCAAGUGACCGGCCGGGGCGGGGGCUUCACCGGCCGUGAACACCUGGGAAGGGACUGCGCCCUCACCAUCAACAACUUGCAGGCCUCGGAUUCCGGGGACUACAGCCUGGUCAUACUGGAUGGGCGCCCGGGCCGGACACAGCGCUGGACGGAUGACGUGAUACGGCUGCAUGUGGCCUAGUGAAAAAGGUUAUCUGGAGAUUACAUUUCUGGAUCUCCUUGCAUGGUGUCACCUGUGGAAAGAGAGGCCACCGACUGAUGACCAGCCAUGAAUCCCAAGGAUGAAUCAGCCACCCCGUUUCCCCCCUUCCUUCAUUCUAACACCUCCUCCCCAUAAAAUCCCCAAACUCCAAUUAAAAUGCGCAUGGCCAGUUCAAAAUCCACUCUGAAGAGUCAUUUGUGUAUGGGUGAGGGUGUGUUGUUCAUGUUUGUGCCAUUUAGUGACACUGGCAAGCUCUCUUUGGUUGUGGAUAGGCGGGAACUGCAACAAAAUGUUGUAGCAGAGCGAAGCAGUCUGGAUAGCUCAGUGGUUUAGGAAGAAGUUGGGGGUUCGAUUCCCCCACGGGACCUCCUUGAAGGGGGCUGGACUUGAUGAUCGACAGGGUCCCUUCCAGCAUUGCAGUUCUAAGGUUAUUAUUAUAUAAUUUCUCCAGCAUUGCAGUUCUAAGAUUAUUAUUAUACAACUCUUAUUUUGGACAUUUUGCUCCAUUUCUCCUCCCUUCAUUCAGGUCUUCCAUUUCUUUUAACAGUCUGCCAUCAUUUUGUGACUUCGGAGCCCACUCUGUCCUCGUUGAGCUGUUGGGCUUCCCCUGCAUUUAAGGACACUUCCCCACGUUCGUGCUUUGGUACUACAAUAUCGACUUUGCUAUUAGAGUGGAGGGUUAGAAAGGGACAGGAAGUUGCCAGCAUUUUCUAAUCAAGUCAAACUCAAAAGAAGCUAAACUUUGAAAACCUCUCCCUGCAAAGUUCUUGAGAGUUAG